rnacentral:rRNA from 1 species
GUCUAAGUUAUAAGUGUUAUACAGCGAAACUGCGAAUGGCUCAUUAAAACAGUUAUAGUUUAUUUGAUAAUCGAAUUUACAUGGAUAACCGUGGUAAUUCUAGAGCUAAUACAUGCUGGUAGGCCCGACUUUUGCGGAAGGGCGGUAUUUAUUAGAUAACAAGCCAAUAUUCCUCUGGUCUAUUGUGGUGACUCAUAAUAACUGAUCGAAUCGCAAGGCCUUUGGCCGCGAUAAGUCAUUCAAGUUUCUGCCCCAUCAGCUUUCGAUGGUAGUGUAUUGGACUACCAUGGCGUUUACGGGUAACGGAGGAUUAGGGUUCGAUUCCGGAGAGGGAGCCUGAGAAACGGCUACCACAUCUAAGGAAGGCAGCAGGCGCGUAAAUUACCCAAUCCUGACUCAGGGAGGUAGUGACAAGAAAUAACGGACCGAGGCCUUCGGGCUUCGGGAUUGGAAUGAGCCGAAUUUACACCCCUUAGCGAAGAUCGAUUGGAGGGCAAGUCUGGUGCCAGCAGCCGCGGUAAUUCCAGCUCCAAUAGCGUAUAUUAAAGUUGUUGCAGUUAAAAAGCUCGUAGUUGGAUUUCUGGGAGGGUGCCGAUGUCCACUUAACGUGUGCGCAGCGGCGCCCUCUCAUCCUUCUGUUAGCGUCUCUUGGCAUUCAUUUGCUGGUGGCGGGCUCAGAUAUUUUA